UUGGCGGACGGGUGAGUAACGCGUGGGUAACCUGCCUUACACAGGGGGAUAGCAGUUGGAAACGACUGGUAAUACCGCAUACCUUACAUUAUUCGCAUGUUUGAUGUAAGAAAGAUUUAUCGGUGUAAGAUGGACCCGCGUCUGAUUAGCUAGUUGGUGAGGUAACGGCCCACCAAGGCGACGAUCAGUAGCCGGCCUGAGAGGGUGAACGGCCACAUUGGGACUGAGACACGGCCCAA
rnacentral:rRNA from 1 species